rnacentral:tRNA from 1 species
UUACAUACUAGCCCAGCUUGGUAGGGCGUUUGAUUGAUUAAUCAGAAUGUCGCGGGUUCAAAUCCCGCGUAUGAAA